ACGGGUGAGUAACACGUAUCCAACCUGCCGUCUACUCUUGGCCAGCCUUCUGAAAGGAAGAUUAAUCCAGGAUGGCAUCAUGAGUUCACAUGUCCGCAUGAUUAAAGGUAUUUCCGGUAGACGAUGGGGAUGCGUUCCAUUAGAUAGUAGGCGGGGUAACGGCCCACCUAGUCUUCGAUGGAUAGGGGUUCUGAGAGGAAGGUCCCCCACAUUGGAACUGAGACACGGUCCAA
rnacentral:rRNA from 1 species